rnacentral:rRNA from 1 species
ACGCUAACAGAUGAACCUGCGUUAGAUUAGCUAGUUGGUAGGGUAAAGGCCUACCAAGGCGACGAUCUAUAGCUGGUCUGAGAGGAUGACCAGCCACACUGGAACUGAGAGACGGACCAGACUCCUACGGGAGGCAGCAGUGGGAAUAUUGGACAAUGGGGGCAACCCUGAUCCAGCGAUGCCGCGUGUGUGAAGAAGGCCUGAGGGUUGUAAAGCACUUUAGUUGGGGAGGAAGAAUCCAGAGAUGAAUAAGCUAUGGAAAUGACGUUACCCAAAGAAUAAGCACCGGCUAACUCUGUG